AGAUUGGGGGCACCAACUUCGUGGCACCUCCAACAGCAGCAGUACCAGCCAAUCUUGGAGCACCCAUCGGCAGUGGCCUGAGUGACCUCUUUGACCUGACCAGUGGCGUGGGCACCCUGUCAGGAUCAUAUGUGGCCCCCAAAGCAGUCUGGCUCCCAGCCAUGAAGGCUAAGGGGCUGGAGAUCUCAGGCACCUUCACCCGCCAGGUGGGCUCCAUCUCCAUGGACCUGCAGCUGACCAACAAGGCCUUGCAGGUCAUGACCGACUUUGCCAUCCAGUUCAACCGCAACAGGUGAGAGCUCCCUGAGGCCAGCGCACCUCUCAAGAGGAGGCCUGUGAGAGAACCCACUCGGAG
rnacentral:lncRNA from 1 species